AGGAACUGUUGGAGAAAGGUAUUUGUAACAUUUCAUUGUACUCGGAGCCUAGGGUGUUGGGGUUUUAUAGGCCUCUUGGCUUCGUAGCUGAUCCUGACGGAAUUAGAGGCAUGGUCUACUCUAGAAAGCAAAAAAAGAAUAAAUAACUUUUCUUUCUUCCAAAACAGAUGAAAGCUUACAAAUUUAUAAAAUUCAAUCAUAUCUUCUACUUUAUUUUCAGCAUUCAGUCACGGUUGAUCCACCUUUUCUACCAACUUCUUCAUUAGCUUUCAAGUUGCUGCAAAUUAUUACUAAUAUGCAGUUGAAUUUUUAGUUUUUCAAGUUGAAUUGUGUAGGGAUAAACAAGCAGAUAAAUAUCAAUAUAAUAGUUAUGAGAAAAUUGCCUCCGAUCUCAAUAUUUAAACAAUAGUACGGUUCAUUACAGAAGCUAUUAUUUUUUAAUAUAGGAGAGUUCAUACAUUCUCAAACUAGAUAUCUAAAAAGACUCAGAAUUCAACCCAUCUAGUACUGCAACUACUGCAAAAUGAAACGUUUGACCAACGAAAUGGCAACUUCUUUUACCACUUUUGGCACCUGAGAAACAUUGAACACAGGUUACAAUUUUGCUCGACUUUGUUUCAGUGAAAAUUAUAAAGGAACUGAACAUGAAUAAAACAGAGAGAAGUAAGGACACUGAUACGUUGACGCUCUACAAGGUUCGUUUUUCUAAGUUUUGCGUUUCAAUUUUGCAUAGCAAAACAUCAUUUGUGGAUGCUUCAUUCCUGUUUGCUGGUAAACAGUUGUAUUGCCUCCACCAUGAGAUUGAGGGCUAUUUCUAAAUCCAAAUUGUAGAAACAUUGAUUUGAUGGAAAAGGGUGCCAUUGAAGUCAUUCUUUUACCCAAAAGGGUAAAGGCACGGCAACAAGCACACUUGACAAACCAUACAACAUCUCAGUUCAAAAGACACAAGACAAGCAAAUUCAUGCCUAAAUACAAGCAAUCACAAAAUUCCUAAAAGCAACAAAACAUUACACCAACAACACUUCAUAGAAGCAUUCAAAGUUCAAUUACAUAGCUUAGUAAGAGAAGAAAAUUAACAAACCCCAAACACCGUACACAAGCCAAAUGCUACUAUUCGACAUAUAUCAGAGAUCCCCUCGAGGCCAUUGGUGAUAGUAUUUGUGAUUAUUCUUCCAGAAAAAAAGCAGGUAGACUUAUUGCUUCAACAUCAUAAGCAUUGUUUAUGACAGUCCAACAAUGUCAUGGGUGCAUAAAAUGCAAUGAAAUUGAGCUCUUGAAUUGUUUUCAAGAGUCUCUUAAUUUGUUUCCAGUAGUAAAACAGGUGAAAAAAAAAAACCAGCAUCCUGUUCAAGUGGGGUUAUCUAUUCCUCAUAUCAAAUCAACUUUGUUUCCCGGUCCAAUCAUUACUCAACAAAUAAUGAAAAAAAACCCAGAAACCAACGAAAUCAAAGGAAUCGUAGACACCCAGAAGCAAAUUAACAAACAAAAAAACAGGCUAUUUCAAAAAAGAGAGCAUUAAGGGCAUUACCUGUGCAUUGAAAUAUUAAAAUCAAGCGACAUAUUUAGCAUGGUGCAAGAAAGCAGCAGAGCAAAGAAUUGAAGCAAUGAAAGCAAAAAUCCCCAACCCAAUCAUCAGAGAAAUCCCAGCGAGCAUCAAAUCCAUCAACGACUGCAUGCUUAACCCCAUCAAAAACAUCUUUCACUCACUCUUUUUCUCCCCCACUCAAGAGAUUUUCCAAGAUAAAAAAGAAGAUGAAAUUUAAGAACUGGGUGUUUAUUUAUUUUUCCUUUUAAUUUUAUUUCCCUAAUAUUGUAAGCAAAUCGUAGAGAGUGUGGAAUAAUCUCUCAUCCCUUUUCGGAUCUUUGCUUCCAUAUGAUAUGUGUAAAGAGAGAAAUGGACUUUGAGACAGGAGUAACCCAGACACAGAAACACAUGUAUUUUUUGGGAUUUGGAAAGGUUUUUC
rnacentral:lncRNA from 1 species